UUAAAGUUGUAGUAUUGCUAUUCUAAUGGUUGAUCAAAGAAGUGAUGACUAAACCUAGAAUUAUAUCCACAGACAGAGCAAAGAAUGGUAAUAAGAGUUUCAAGAGAACUUUGUGAUGGUAUUUGAAGCGGCACCGAACUCACAAACAUGAAGAUGAAAAGGAUCUUCGUGGCUUUGCUGCCCUGCAUCCCAAUUCAGCUUCACAGCAACAAGUCACUUUUCUCUGCGUAAUUAGGUUUUGCUUCUCCGUGCGAUAAACACUCAAACUGCGCCGCCGCGAUGCUGGCGUUCGUCAUCCGCCGCCAUAGCCGUAGUAUCCACGCACACUUCCGACCCAGUAACCUAUUCUCUUCUUCCUCCGCUGCCUCCGCAGUUCCUCCGCUGAAACCGUUUUCCGUUGUCGAGUACCUAGUAGAUUCCUGGGGUUUAUCUGCCGCCGAGGCAUCCAAGGCCUCCCGUUCCUUAUCAGAUGUCAAAUCUAGUAAGAAACCCGACUACUUCUUCAACUUCUUGAAGUCCCAGGGCUUCACCGACUCCAACAUCAAGAGGAUUAUCAAUGUCAACCCCAGAAGUGUCUGCGUAAAGGUGGAGCCAAAGUUCCGAUCUUGGCUUGACGCGGGAAUCUCGCAGUCCGACCUAGUAGAGAUAAUUACAUCAUAUCCACGUAUCCUCCACUAUAGCAUCCGUUCUGUCGUCUCCAGGUUGGAGUUCUGGGAUCGUCUGUUUGGAUCGAGGAAGCUUCUUGUUAAGCGUUUAAAGGAAAAAUGGUUUUUUACCUGCAGUGUUGAGAAAAGAAUCCUUCCCAACCUCAAAUUUCUUAUGGACGUGUGCGGUAUCUCAGAAGAGAAGGCGUCUCGAGCAAUGAGAAGCCGCCCUGAGUUACUUGCCAAGAAACUAGAUUCACUCCAGACUUUGGUCCGUAGAGCCGACGAGCUGGGCGUCCCUCGACAAUCUCCAAUGUAUCCACUCUUGCUUAUUGUUCUUUAUGGUAUCGACAAAGAAAAAUUCGAAGCCAAAAGCAAAUUUUUUAAGAGCCUUGGUUGGUCGGAGUCAGACUUCUUCACUGCAGUCAGGACAACGCCAACCUUGUUAACUAUUUCUCAACCUUACCUACAGAGGAAGAUAGAAUUUUUCGUUAAGGAAGUUGGCUAUUCUCCUUCCUUCAUAACUCAACGUCCAUUAAUUCUGCUAUUUAGUUUGGAUAAAAGGGUGAUUCCUAGGUUUCAAGUGUUGGAGUUGUUGAAGUCCGAAAAUUUAUGGACUGCAAAAGGGACUUUCUUCUAUUAUAUGAAGCUAUCUGACAAAAAGUUCAUUGAGAAGUUUGUGAUUCCAUAUAAAGAGAAGGUCCCUAAGCUAGUAGACAUUUAUUCCUUGCCGUCAACGGAGGUGUCCGUCUAAUUUUGAGUUCUAGCAAUCCCUAUAGAAGAUAUUUUUAGAAUAUGUAUUCAGAAAGAGAUCAAAGAAUGGUACGAGAGUUUCAAGAGAAUUUUGUGAUGGUAUUUGAGGCAGCACCGAGCUCACAAACAUGAAGAUGAAAAGGGUAUGGUAGUCUAAUGUUUUGGAAUUUAGUGUGUUUUAGUAGAAGAAUUUUCUCCAUUUCCAGCGAUCAUACAUGAUUUGAGUAGCAGAUCUUUACGGUUUGCUUCCCUGCAUCCCAAUUCAAGCCGUAAACCUACCAUAAUUUUGAUCAGAGUGCAAGAUUGAAUCAUCCUGUUUGACUUGGAAGGAGGAUUGCAUAAUGCUACCAUGUGUCAUUUGCUAACAUGUACUUACAAUUUGGAUAUCUGCAUCACAAUUUUCAUCUUUCAACACAGUUUAUUGUGUUCCUCAUGAAA